rnacentral:rRNA from 1 species
UACAGAGGUGGCAAGCGUUGUUCGGAAUUACUGGGCGUAAAGGGCGCGUAGGCGGUCCGAUAAGUCCCGUGUGAAAUCCCUCGGCUCAACUGAGGAAUGGCACGGGAAACUGACGGGCUUGAGUUCGGGAGAGGGAAGCGGAAUUCCGGGUGUAGCGGUGAAAUGCGUAGAUAUCGGGAGGAACACCGGUGGCGAAGGCGGUUCUCUGGGCCUGUACUGACGCUGAGGAGCGAAAGCGUGGGGAGCGAACAGG